rnacentral:rRNA from 1 species
AUUGAACGCUGGCGGCAUGCUUUACACAUGCAAGUCGAACGGCAGCGGGGUAGUGCUUGCUCUACUGCCGGCGAGUGGCGAACGGGUGAGUAAUAUAUCGGAACGUACCGAGUAAUGGGGGAUAACCAAUCGAAAGAUUGGCUAAUACCGCAUACGUCCUGAGGGAGAAAGCGGGGGAUCGCAAGACCUCGCGUUAUUCGAGCGGCCGAUAACUGAUUAGCUAGUUGGUGGGGUAAAGGCCUACCAAGGCGACGAUCAGUAGCGGGUCUGAGAGGACGAUCCGCCACACUGGGACUGAGACACGGCCCAGACUCCUACGGGAGGCAGCAGUGGGGAAUUUUGGACAAUGGGGGCAACCCUGAUCCAGCCAUGCCGCGUGUAUGAAGAAGGCCUUCGGGUUGUAAAGUACUUUUGUUAGGGAAGAAAAGGGAAGUGCUAAUACCACUUUGCUGACUGUACCUAAGAUAGCCCCG